GGCAUGCGUUCCAUUAGGCAGUUGGCGGGGUACCGGCCCACCAAACCGACGAUGGAUAGGGGUUCUGAGAGGAAGGUCCCCCACAUUGGUACUGAGACACGGACCAAACUCCUACGGGAGGCAGCAGUGAGGAAUAUUGGUCAAUGGGCGUAAGCCUGAACCAGCCAAGUCGCGUGAGGGAUGAAGGUUCUAUGGAUCGUAAACCUCUUUUAUAAGGGAAUAAAGUGUGGGACGUGUCCUGUUUUGUAUGUACCUUAUGAAUAAGGAUCGGCUAACUCCGUGCCAGCAGCCGCGGUAAUACGGAGGAUCCGAGCGUUAUCCGGAUUUAUUGGGUUUAAAGGGUGCGUAGGCGGCCUUUUAAGUCAGCGGUGAAAGUCUGUGGCUCAACCAUAGAAUUGCCGUUGAAACUGGGAGGCUUGAGUAUGUUUGAGGCAGGCGGAAUGCGUGGUGUAGCGGUGAAAUGCUUAGAUAUCACGCAGAACCCCGAUUGCGAAGGCAGCCUGCCAAGCCAUGACUGACGCUGAUGCACGAAAGCGUGGGGAUCAAACAGGAUUAGAUACCCUGGUAGUCCACGC
rnacentral:rRNA from 1 species